rnacentral:rRNA from 2 species
UGCGGUGAUUAUAGCGUCGGGGCACACCUCUUCCCAUUCCGAACAGAGAAGUUAAGCCCGACCGCGCCGAUGGUACUGCCCUACAGGUGGGAGAGUAGGUCGUCGCCCAAU